rnacentral:misc_RNA from 1 species
UCUCCGUUGGUGAACCAGCGGAGGGAUCAUUACCGAGUUUACAACUCCCAAACCCCUGUGAACAUACCUGUUUUGUUGCUUCGGCGGUGCCCUCGCUCUCGCGGCGAGGCCCGCCAGAGGACCCAAACAAACUCUUUGACUUUGAUCUAGGAUUAUACUUCUGAGUGGUACAAAAAAUAAAAUCAAACUUUCAACAACGGAUCUCUUGGUUCUG